CUACGGGAGGCAGCAGUGGGGAAUUUUGGACAAUGGGCGCAAGCCUGAUCCAGCCAUGCCGCGUGCAGGAUGAAGGCCUUCGGGUUGUAAACUGCUUUUGUACGGAACGAAAAAGCCUUCUCUAAUAAAGGGGGUGAAUGACGGUACCGUAAGAAUAAGCACCGGCUAACUACGUGCCAGCAGCCGCGGUAAUACGUAGGGUGCAAGCGUUAAUCGGAAUUACUGGGCGUAAAGCGUGCGCAGGCGGUUAUGUAAGACAGAGGUGAAAUCCCCGGGCUCAACCUGGGAACUGCCUUUGUGACUGCAUAGCUGGAGUGCGGCAGAGGGGGAUGGAAUUCCGCGUGUAGCAGUGAAAUGCGUAGAUAUGCGGAGGAACACCGAUGGCGAAGGCAAUCCCCUGGGCCUGCACUGACGCUCAUGCACGAAAGCGUGGGGAGCAAACAGGAUUAGAUACCCUGGUAGUCCACGCCCUAAACGAUGUCAACUGGUUGUUGGGUCUUCACUGACUCAGUAACGAAGCUAACGCGUGAAGUG
rnacentral:rRNA from 1 species